rnacentral:rRNA from 3 species
UACGUUGUCUGCUAUACGCAGGAAGACCCG